rnacentral:lncRNA from 1 species
UUUAUUAAUGCCAAUGCUGUUUCUUAUGCUUGAUUUUCAGCUCUCCGGAAAACGGACCCAAGAUCAGUACUGUACAUAGGCAACUUCAACCCAAUGUAAUGCGGAGCGUGUUCCAGCUCGUCAACACAAUCAGCUACAGGGGAGUUUACUUUCUGCGUUGUUCGGCUUAUUUAAGAAUAUCAAAUUAAAUGAAUCGAAGAAACGCUUUUCAGGCAGUUUGAAUGUAUAUUGUUAUUCUGUGCAGAAUCGGUGUAUGUUGACCUACAACACAAAUGCGCAUCAUGACAAAGAAGGCAACUUGGAACAUACCUGAUCCUCCCAUGCGUAUCAUCCUCUUCCCCACUCCAAAUAAAGACCCUUCACACCUACCACCCUUCUAUUCAGACCACUCAGACCUACGGCUGACACCUUUAGUCUCUCUCUUUAUCUAUCCUCUUGAUACAGAUCUCUUGAUCCGCUGGCUGCAUUUUAAGCAAAACUGCUCCAGUUCCUUCAAGUUGGAUGGGUUCCGCUGGUGUACAUCAAUCUUUAACUUCUCUAGGGUAGGGAGCAGUAUUUUGACGUCCGGAUGAAAGGCGUGCCCGUAGUAAACUGCCUGCUACUCAGGCUCAGAAGCUGGAACCCUUGGGAUUGCAAACAGAGGAAGAUCUUCAAAGGUAAGUGAUUUAUUUCAUCGCUAUUUGUGAUUUUGUGAAGCCUGUGCUGGUUGAAAAAUAUGUUGAUGUGGGGCACCAUCCUCAGACAAUCGCAUGGUAUGCUUUCACUGUAAAGCCUAUUGUAAAUCGGACAACGCAGUUAGAUUAACAAGUAUUUAAGCUUUUAAAUAAUACGAGAUACUUGUAUGUUCAUGAAUGUUUAAUAUUACGAUUAUUUAUUUGAAUUGCGCUCCCUCCAAUUUCACCGGAUGUUGUCGACUGGUGUCCCGGUAGCCC